AGACAGUUCGGUCUCUAUCUGCCACGGGCGCAGGAAACUUGAGGGGGGCUGGCCUUAGUACGAGAGGACCGGGCUGGACGGACCUCUGGUGUACCAGUUGUCGCGCCAGCGGCAGCGCUGGGUAGCUACGUCCGGACGGGAGAAACGCUGAAGGCAUCUAAGCGUGAAACCCUCCCCAAGAUGAGGUUUCCCUGGAUCGCGAGAUCCCUAAAGGCUCCUGGAAGAUGACCAGGUGAUAGGCCGGAGGUGUAAGGACGGUGACGUCCUGAGCUGACCGGUACUAAUCAGCCGUGAGGCUUGACCAUAUCCUCUCUC
rnacentral:rRNA from 1 species